rnacentral:rRNA from 1 species
AGUGGCGGACGGGUGAUUAACGCGUGAGAAUCUGCCUUGGGGUCGGGGACAACCACUGGAAACGGUGGCUAAUACCGGAUAAGCCGAUUGGUGAAAGAUUUAUUGCCCGAAGAGGAGCUCGCGUCUGAUUAGCUAGUUGGUGAGGUAAGAGCUCACCAAGGCAGCGAUCAGUAGCUGGUCUGAGAGGACGAUCAGCCACACUGGGACUGAGACACGGCCCAGACUCCUACGGGAGGCAGCAGUGGGGAAUUUUCCGCAAUGGGCGAAAGCCUGACGGAGCAAGACCGCGUGAGGGAGGAAGGCUCUUGGGUUGUAAACCUUUUUUCUCAGGGAAGAAGCUCUGACGGUACCUGAGGAAUCAGCCUCGGCUAACUCCGUGCCAGCAGCCGCGGUAAUACGGAGGAGGCAAGCGUUAUCCGGAAUUAUUGGGCGUAAAGCGUCCGCAGGUGGCGAUUCAAGUCUGCUGUCAAAGCACGGGGCUUAACUCCGUAAAGGCAGUGGAAACUGAAUAGCUAGAGUGCCGUAGGGGUAGAGGGAAUUCCCGGUGUAGCGGUGAAAUGCGUAGAGAUCGGGAAGAACAUCGGUGGCGAAAGCGCUCUACUGGACGGCAACUGACACUCAGGGACGAAAGCUAGGGGAGCGAAUGGGAUUAGAUACCCC